GACGAACGCUGGCGGCGUGCCUAAUACAUGCGAGUUGAGCGCUGAAGGUUGGUACUUGUACCAACUGGAUGAGCAGCGAACGGGUGAGUAACGCGUGGGGAAUCUGCCUUUGAGCGGGGGACAACAUUUGGAAACGAAUGCUAAUACCGCAUAAAAACUUUAAACACAAGUUUUAAGUUUGAAAGAUGCAAUUGCAUCACUCAAAGAUGAUCCCGCGUUGUAUUAGCUAGUUGGUGAGGUAAAGGCUCACCAAGGCGAUGAUACAUAGCCGACCUGAGAGGGUGAUCGGCCACAUUGGGACUGAGACACGGCCCAAACUCCUACGGGAGGCAGCAGUAGGGAAUCUUCGGAAAUGGACGAAAGUCUGACCGAGCAACGCCGCGUGAGUGAAGAAGGUUUUCGGAUCGUAAAACUCUGUUGGUAGAGAAGAACGUUGGUGAGAGUGGAAAGCUCAUCAAGUGACGGUAACUACCCAGAAAGGGACGGCUAACUACGUG
rnacentral:rRNA from 1 species